rnacentral:rRNA from 1 species
AGCGGGGGAAGGUAGCUUGCUACCGGACCUAGCGGCGGACGGGUGAGUAAUGCUUAGGAAUCUGCCUAUUAGUGGGGGACAACAUCUCGAAAGGGAUGCUAAUACCGCAUACGUCCUACGGGAGAAAGCAGGGGAUCUUCGGACCUUGCGCUAAUAGAUGAGCCUAAGUCGGAUUAGCUAGUUGGUGGGGUAAAGGCCUACCAAGGCGACGAUCUGUAGCGGGUCUGAGAGGAUGAUCCGCCACACUGGGACUGAGACACGGCCCAGACUCCUACGGGAGGCAGCAGUGGGGAAUAUUGGACAAUGGGGGGAACCCUGAUCCAGCCAUGCCGCGUGUGUGAAGA